AUGAGUUGCACGUGACUCAAGGCAACCCAAAAACGGUGUAUAAGGGAAAAAACUUUAAAAAGUGAAACCGCCUUAUAGAAACCCUAUCUCUUAUCUCUCUCUAUCUCUCUCUCUCUCUCUCUUUCUCUUCUCUAUCUAGCUCUUAGAUCUUAGUUCGCCAUCUUUUGAAUUUGCUCUUAGAUCUCAGUUCAUCAUAUUUCAAAAUCGCUUGAAAUUUAGCGAAUUUGAGUGAAAGCCGUGAUAUAAUUUCCUUUUUCUCCUUGUUAAGUUCUUCAAUUUAAGGCAGGGCAAAAAGAUAUUAAGAGUGAAAAGGGUAGAAAAUAGCAUUUGAUUGUUGCAGAAAUGUUCCUAGCUGCCUGAUGUCAAGGAUACAAGGCCUAUCUAAUUUGGUUGGCUGUUUGUAGUGCUGAUUACUGAAUAGAUUAACCUGGUUUAGAAGCUUCUAACUGUUGGAGCCAAUUUGAUGCAUGCUUGGUUCAGGUUUUAGUUUGUAAGUGCAUGUUUUGGUACAUUUUAUAUUAUCCUUGUUUCAUAUGCUUGUUGCUGCUAUAUAUAUAUAUUGUUUUUCUAGUUAAGUUUGCUAUCAUUUCGGCACUCUCUACAAACUGGUUAGUGUCCAGGCAACUGAUUUAAUGAAUGUUUUGGGUUUUGUCAAUUUCUCAUUAUUAUAUGCUUAUUCUGCCAAUUUUGAUUAUGUCCUGCUUAAUUUUGUUGAAUUUCGUGGCUGAAUGAAUUUGCAUUUUAAUUAUUUAAUCUAUACUGCCGGAUUCCUACUGCAUUUUAAAUCAGGCAUUUUAUAAUUAUAAUACUUGCACUCAUUCUUGCACCCAUGGACUUCGAACACUCUCUAAAGCAAAGGUAGAAUGUUGGUUUUUAGUGCCAUUAUUGGGUAUGCUUAAGGAUAUGUUUAGUGCCAUUAUUGGGUAUGCUUCACUCAUCUUUCAUUUUACAAGUAGAGAUUUUAAAAACUUGUGACACUUAGUGAUCUGGACCUUAUUACUUUACUGAUGGAAAAUUCAUGUCAAAGAUCUGUGCUUAAUUAGAUACUUCUCAAUUUUACUGUACAAGGUAUUGCUCUGAUAGAAUAUGUUCUUGCUUAGAACUAAUAUCCUGAAUAAUAGUUGCUACUUUCUAGAGGAUGCAUUAACUGUAGUCUACUGUGUUUUCCAUUUGUAUUGAGAAGUAUUAGGCAAGGCCUUUCACUACUAUUAAGUUGGAUAUAUUCCGUAAUUUACAUGGGGAAACAUCUUUUGUGGCCUUUUGUUCUGUUAAUUGAGUCAUUGAAUGUAAUGAUUAUUAGUUGGGUAACCCUAUUAAUCUAUUAUAGCCUUUUUGUUCUGUUAAUUGAAUCAUUAAAUGUAAUGAUUGUUACCUGGGGAACCCAAUUUGGUAUACUUCCUUUUUUUCCCUUUUCUAUAGUUUGAUAUCACUUAUCCCAUGUUCUAUUUGUAAGCUAAUCUUGGUAAGGUAGACAGGAAGAGAACACCUUAAUGAUUGUUUUAUUCCAUGUCCCUUGGUACAAUAGCAAAACGGCUCACCAAAUCGGUACAAAUGUUUAUAAAUUAUUUUAUCUUGUUGGUCUAUAUAAGAAAUUGGAUGUUAAGUAUUUUCCAAUAUUUUAACAUAAUCGAGUGUAUGGAGGUAAAUCUGACCGUUGUGGUGUUGUCCAUGUAACUAUUGGUGAUGGUGGGAACUUUGAGGGUUUAGCUCGAAGGUAUGUAGUGUAUGUACUCAUGAACCUUCUUCAUCUGCUUGGAAAAAUGCAACAUAUUUUUAUAGUCAAUCAUCAAAAAAAUUGGCCAUUUUAAGUACUAAUUGUGAGAAAUAUAUUGCAUUUUUAUUAUGAUUUUAUAUUACAUAAUCUUUUCCUUGGUUAUAUGAAUUAAGAACUUCCUGCUUCUUGCAAUUUAAUUUCGGUUCUAGUCAAUUUAUCAUCUUGCAACUUCUAAUUCAAAGUUCCACCUAACAAUUUUGACCAUAUGCAGAACUCCCUUUCCGCUUUGCUGAUUUUGGGGUGCUUCACAGGAAUGAGGCUAGUGGUGCCCUCACUGGAUUGACGUGUGUUAGGAGAUUCCAGCAGGAUGAUGCUCAUAUCUUCUGCAGAGAAGGCCAAGUAAGUUGGAUCUGCUGAUGGUUGUGAAUUGAAUUCUGUUACUUUUGCCUGUGCACGUUCAGGUGAAGGAUGAAGUUAGGGCUGCACUGGAUUUUAUUAACUGUGUAUGGAAAAUUUGGGUUUACCUUCAAGCUAAAACUUUCAACCGUAUGAUAAUUUUCUCAUUUUCUUUAUAGUAAUUUCUGUAGUCAGCAUUAGUAUAUAGAUUUCAAUUAGUGAUUCGGAAUUUGUUCCACUACAACUUGUCACGACUGAAUUGUAAGUUGCAAUUAUAAUUGUUGUAAUAGAAACUCAUUACUAUGAGAUAUUGUAUAUAUGCUAUAAUAUAUUUAUAUGCAAUAUAAAAAUUUCGGUAUAAUUUUGUUGUA